rnacentral:lncRNA from 1 species
AGGGGUUUGGCUCAGGCAAUCUAUAGUGUCUCUAUUAAGUUUACUAUCAACAAUUGUACCAUCCUCUACCCAGCAUCAAAUUCCAAAGCCACUUUCACAUCUGUAGGUAUUUGUCAUAGCAGUACCCCACCUCAUACUAAAAUUUAUAUCACAUUCCUAUGGUUACUGUAACAUAUUCCCACAGACACAGAGGGAUAAAAUAGUAGAUUUCUGGUUCUGUGGUGUUUUUAUAGCCACAACUCCAAAACCAUGAUAUUGGCAAGAGAGCACUCCUCUGCAAACUCUAGAGAAAAAUCCACUCCUUGCAUCUUCUCAUGUGAUUGUCAUUAUUCCUUGGAUUGUGGCUUCAUCUUACUACUCUGUUGUUUUGACAGCUUCCCCUCUGUAUAUAUAAUCUACCUCUACUUCUCUCUUAUGAAGAUAAUUUUGAUGACCCGUCCGGAUUAUCUAUUAUAACAUCCUGAUUUUCAGAGCCUAAAUUUAAUUACAACUUCACAUACCUGCUGAACAGAAUAAGGUAAUAUCACAGAUUCUGAGGAUUAGCACACAAAUGAACAUGUCUUUUUGGGAGGGAGGAGCAUAAUUCAGCCACUACAGUAGUCAUUGCAUAUAAAUGUACUUUAUACUUUUUAAAAUGCAUCCUUGGUGCUCAAGCCAGAUUUAAGGUUGUUAUUAAAAGCUAUUGUCUGCACAGGCUACUGCAUGCUUUGUUACUAAAUAGACAAAAUGGCUAUUCUAAAUUUUGGUUGAUAUUUUCACCACUGUAACCAAUUAGCUGAAACAAUUCACGGAUCUCAACUCUGCUCUAGUGUGUCUCUUCUGCCCUUUUUUAUGAAGCCUUUGUUCAAAUGUCUUCUAUCAUGCAUAAUGUAGGCACAAAACUACCUCUGAUACAGAAGGGUUCUUUACAAGCUUCCUUUAGAUAUUGUGAAUCCCUCAGCUGAAGUGAGAGGUAAAAGCAAAGACUGUAUUGAAUGGGUAUUGAGGGAGAUUUUGUCCAUAGCAAGCAACUAUUUCUUUAAUAAAUAGUUCCAGUAGCAGUAAAGCUGUCAAUUUGUGCUGUCAUUUCACCUCGGAAUAAACACCUGUAUUUGCGCUGGACCAAUAAUGACUUGCAUUCUCUGUAUAAUGCCUAUUAAUUCAAUAAAGCUUAGAUCUGC